CCUACGGGAGGCAGCAGUGGGGAAUAUUGCACAAUGGGGGAAACCCUGAUGCAGCGACGCCGCGUGAGUGAAGAAGGAUUUCGGUAUGUAAAGCUCUGUCAGCAGGGAAGAAAAUGACGGUACCUGACCAAGAAGCCCCGGCUAACUACGUGCCAGCAGCCGCGGUAAUACGUAGGGGGCAAGCGUUAUCCGGAUGUACUGGGUGUAAAGGGAGCGUAGACGGCAGGGCAAGUCUGGAGGGAAAGGCGGGGGCUCAACCCCCGGACUGCUCUGGAAACUGCCAGGCUGGAGUGCAGGAGAGGUACGUGGAAUGCCCGGUGUAGCGGUGAAAUGCGUAGAUAUUAGGAGGAACACCAGUGGCGAAGGCGGCUUACUGGACUGUAACUGACGUUGAGGCUCGAAAGCGUGGGGAGCAAACAGGAUUAGAUACCCGAGUAGUC
rnacentral:rRNA from 1 species